UACGUAGGGGGCGAGCGUUGUCCGGAUUUAUUGGGCGUAAAGAGCUCGUAGGCGGUUUGGUAAGUCGGGUGUGAAAUCUCCACGCUCAACGUGGAGGGGCCACUCGAUACUGCCAUGACUCGAGUCCGGUAGAGGAGUGUGGAAUUCCCGGUGUAGCGGUGAAAUGCGUAGAUAUCUGGAGGAACACCGGUGGCGAAGGCGACAUCCUGGACCGGUAUUGACGCUGAGGAGCGAAAGCGUGGGGAGCGAACAGG
rnacentral:rRNA from 1 species